CAAUGAGGAUGUUUAAUACAUAGAUUCUGAUCAUUUGUUCUAUAUUUAGCUCUGUUCUGGGCAGUGAGGAAUUUAGAUGAACCACAGGGUUUGCCCUGAAGAGGUUUAUAGCUCAGGGAGGAGACAGACAAAGGGACAGUUGUGAUACAAUGUGAUGAGCGCCAUGAUGAAGCAGGUACAAGAUCUACGUGGGUGGGAGUGGAGCAAGGUUGCUAGAGAGCACUACCCUUCAACAGAGUUUUGGACAUGAUGAGUUAUAGUAGANGAUACAAUGUUGAGCGCCAUGAUGAAGCAGGUACAAGAUCUAUGUGGGUGGGAAUGGAGCAAGGUUGCUAGAGAGCACUACACCUGAACAGAGUCUUGGACAUGAUGAGUUAUAGUAGAAAGGGAAGGAAAGAGGGAUGGGAGACGGAGAAGGGCAGAGGGAUCAGCAUGUGGAGUGGCUAGUCAUCAACCACACUGUGUGGGAGAGCUGUGGUCUGAGCUGAGAGGCCAGAGAUGAGCUGGAAGAUCCAAGAGGCUGACUUCAUCUCCACCUGGUCCAGAAAGGGAGACCGAGAGAAGAGGCCUAUAUCCAGAAUCAGAAGAUCCUUUCAGGAUGUGGCUUUUGGGAGUUUUCUCAUCUGCAAAAUGGAGAUUCUGAUCAUAGCUCUCCUGCUUGCCUCGAUGAACCAUUUGGUGAA
rnacentral:lncRNA from 1 species